rnacentral:misc_RNA from 1 species
GAUGAAGAACGUAGCGAAAUGCGAUAAGUAAUGUGAAUUGCAGAAUUCAGUGAAUCAUCGAAUCUUUGAACGCACAUUGCGCCCCCUGGUAUUCCGGGGGGCAUGCCUGUUCGAGCGUCAUUUCACCACUCAAGCCUCGCUUGGUAUUGGGCAACGCGGUCCGCCGCGUGCCUCAAAUCGACCGGCUGGGUCUUCUGUCCCCUAAGCGUUGUGGAAACUAUUCGCUAAAGGGUGUUCGGGAGGCUACGCCGUAAAACAACCCCAUUUCUAAGGUUGACCUCGGAUCAGGUAGGGAUACCCGCUGAACUUAAGCAUAUCAAUAAGAGGAGGA